AUCUGAUGAUGAGCGAAGCUUGCACACAAUCUCUUAAAUCUUUCCCAUUACUCAUAUAAGCUCUCAACAUGUUGCUGGCUAAUUCCAGAAAUGUCUUUUCUGAAUGC